rnacentral:sRNA from 1 species
GCAAAACGAAGAAGUAUGAGGGAUCAUUUCAACAGGAUUCCCUGGAAGAAAGGAGCUGGAGAGAAAGUCUUAGCCAGAUUAAAGCCCUACGUACCUCAGAAUACGGAAAACUGCUGGACGGGGGAGCUGGGGACCGAACCCAGGGCCUUGCGCUUGCUAGGCAAGCGCUCUACCACUGAGCUAAAUCCCCAACCCCCUUACGUAUGUUUUGAUCUGGCACAGUACUAAUCAUAAUUCAAUAAAUGCUCUUUCAAAAGAA